rnacentral:rRNA from 1 species
UAGGGAAUCUUCGGCAAUGGACGGAAGUCUGACCGAGCAACGCCGCGUGAGUGAAGAAGUUUUUCGGAUCGUAAAGCUCUGUUGUAAGAGAAGAACGAGUGUGGGAGUGGAAAGUUCACACUGUGACGGUAUCUUACCAGAAAGGGACGGCUAACUACGUGCCAGCAGCCGCGGUAAUACGUAGGUCCCGAGCGUUGUCCGGAUUUAUUGGGCGUAAAGCGAGCGCAGGCGGUUAGAUAAGUCUGAAGUUAAAGGCUGUGGCUUAACCAUAGUAUAGGCUUUGGAAACUGUUUAACUUGAGUGCAAGAGGGGAGAGUGGAAUUCCAUGUGUAGCGGUGAAAUGCGUAGAUAUAUGGAGGAACACCGGUGGCGAAAGCGGCUCUCUGGCUUGUAACUGACGCUGAGGCUCGAAAGCGUGGGGAGCAAACAGGAUUAGAUACCCUGGUAGUCCACGCUGUAAACGAUGAGUGCUAGGUGUUAGACCCUUUCCGGGGUUUAGUGCCGUAGCUAACGCAUUAAGCACUCCGCCUGGGGAGUACGACCGCAAGGUUG